ACCUGGGUGGCUCAGUGGUUGAGCAUCUGACUUUAGCUCUGGUCGUGAUCUUGGGAUCGAGUCCCACAUCAGGCU
rnacentral:tRNA from 1 species